rnacentral:sRNA from 1 species
GGAACAGCAGCUACCAUCACAGCCACUGUGGCCCCUUGAGAGGAUCUGGGAGUGUCAUGGGCCACGCGGGUCAGGGUGGCCCCUGGAGAGGAUCUGGGGGGUGUCUCAACCCAUGUAGCCCAGAGCGGCCUGAGAGGGCUGGGGGCGUCUGUCCCCAUGCGGCCCAGAGCGGCCUGAGAGGGCUGGGGGCGUCUCCAUGCGGUGGGUGUGUAGCGACGCCUCUGGUGCCGAGUCCAUGUGGGGAGUGGAAGUCAGCAUGUGUCGUGCCUGGUACUGCAGACCUUGGACAGCCCGGAGCUCAGGACCGUUGUCCAUGACCUGUUGACCACGGUGGAGGAGCUGUGUGACCAGAACGAGUUCCACGGGUCUCAGGAGAGAUACUUUGAACUGGUGGAGAGAUGUGCGGACCAGAGGCCGGAGUCCUCCCUCCUGAACCUGAUCUCCUAUAGAGCGCAGUCCAUCCACCCGGCCAAGGACGGCUGGAUUCAGAACCUGCAGGCGCUGAUGGAGAGAUUCUUCAGGAGCGAGUCCCGAGGCGCCGUGCGCAUCAAGGUGCUGGACGUGCUGUCCUUUGUGCUGCUCAUCAACAGGCAGUUC